rnacentral:piRNA from 1 species
CUUCUGGUAGGUUGGACGAGAACU